GGUGCACCUGGAAAAACGAAAAAUCGUCGGAUGAAGACCUAGCGUGGCUGCUAGGAAGCCUAAGUCUCGAAACAACGCUUCUAAGGCCGAGUCAAGAUCACACCCUCGGAAGCGCGAAAGGAUCGUAUCUGUUGCUGAGCAACUUCGAGAGGAACACCGGAGAUAGAGCUGAUCUUAUUGGUGAGGUACUUCCCUCAGGCAGUGGCAUAACGCAGUGCGUCGAGUUUUGGUACGACAUCUCUGCAGACAAAGAGACAAGUCUCACGUUGCUAGCAACCAAUAUCGCCGGGAAAGCACGCAAAGAG